rnacentral:rRNA from 1 species
AGCGAACGCUGGCGGCAGGCCUAACACAUGCAAGUCGAGCGCCCCGCAAGGGGAGCGGCAGACGGGAGAGUAACGCGUGGGAACGUGCCCUUUGGUUCGGAACAACCCAGGGAAACUUGGGCUAAUACCGGAUAAGCCCUCACGGGGAAGGAUUUAUCGCCGAAGGAUCGGCCCGCGUCUGAUUAGCUAGUUGGUGGGGUAAUGGCCCACCAAGGCGACGAUCAGUAGCUGGUCUGAGAGGAUGAUCAGCCUCACUGGGACUGAGACACGGCCCAGACUCCUACGGGAGGAAGCAGUGGGGAAUAUUGGACAAUGGGAGCAAGCCUGAUCCAGCCAUUCCGCGUGGGUGAUGAAGGCCCUAGGGUUGUAAAGCCCUUUCGGCGGGGAAGAUAAUGACGGUACCCGCAGAAGAAGCCCCGGCUAACUUCGUGCCAGCAGCCGCAGUAA